rnacentral:rRNA from 1 species
AAGAGACAGCAGUCGCCACGGUAAUACGAAGGGUGCAAGCGUUACUCGGAAUUACUGGGCGUAAAGCGUGCGUAGGUGGUGGUUUAAGUCCGUUGUGAAAGCCCUGGGCUCAACCUGGGAAUUGCAGUGGAUACUGGGUCACUAGAGUGUGGUAGAGGAUAGUGGAAUUUCCGGUGUAGCAGUGAAAUGCGUAGAGAUCGGAAGGAACAUCUGUGGCGAAGGCGACUAUCUGGGCCAACACUGACACUGAGGCAUGAAAGCGUGGGGAGCAAACAGGAUUAGAUACCCCUGUAGUCCCUGUCUCUUAUAC